rnacentral:rRNA from 1 species
ACGGAGAGUUUGAUCCUGGCUCAGGAUGAACGCUGGCGGCGUGCUUAACACAUGCAAGUCGAACGAACCUUCGGGUUAGUGGCGGACGGGGGAGUAACGCGUGAGAAUCUGCCCUCAGGAGGGGGAUAACGGCUGGAAACGGCCGCUAAUACCCCAUAUGCCGCGAGGUGAAAUGAAUUUCGCCUGAGGAUGAGCUCGCGUCUGAUUAGCUAGUUGGUGGGGUAAGAGCCUACCAAGGCAUCGAUCAGUAGCUGGUCUGAGAGGAUGAUCAGCCACACUGGAACUGAGACACGGUCCAGACUCCUACGGGAGGCAGCAGUGGGGAAUAUU